rnacentral:lncRNA from 1 species
GCCUGAUGUGGGAUUCGAUCCCGGGUCUCCAGGAUCGUGCCCUGGGCCAAAGGCAGGCGCCAAACCGCUGCGCCACCCAGGGAUUCCCCGGAUGGAGUAAAUGUUCAUUCAUUCAUGAUCUGCUUUGUCCUAGAAAUAAUUCCAGGAUGAAUCUCUUUUGUGGUCUUUUCUCUUUUUCCAUUUAUUGAACAUUCCCUAGGCCUCAGCCACUGUGUUAUGCAUUGUGAAAAGAUGAAAGUGGUAUGUAGAGCAAGUGUCCUGUCCUCAUAUAACUCACAGUCCAGCCAAAGAAACAUACAUAUAAACUCUACUACCAGAUUGUAUUAGGACCCAGAAGCCAGUAAGAACUUGUAUUCUGGGUUGGUGAGGGGAGAAAAAGUCCUGUGUGUUUUUUCCUGGGAAGAGGGAGUAUUGAGAAAGAUAAUUCUCUCCUUUGCUUUCUUUCACUGGGCAGGUGUUAGAAGAGAACUAAAAUAAUGCUAAAAGUGCUAGUUUUACAAUCUUGAAGCAGAAAAUCAAUUGGUAAAAACUCCCCUAGAAAGCAGUUGGGGCCUUGUUGGGGCUCCAGGCCAAUGUGACAAAGGCCAUGAACUUAACACUCAAGUGUCAGCCUUUGUUCCUGGUUGGCAUUAUGCUGGAUUUGUGCAAUGCUUUUCUUGGUGUGAAUAGCUCUUCAUGGGGGUAAUGGUAAUGCUGAUGUGGGGUAGGAGUGAGAGAAGAGUAUGGGGAAAUGAGAGUUUUCUGUGCCAGGUUCUCACUGAAUCCCUAACAAGGAAAAGGAAAACACAGUGUCAAGCUCACUCUGGUUCCCUUCUGACUUUAUGUAACUCCCUGAACAAUAUUUUCAGUUUUCUUGGUUUCCUCUUUCAAAUGAGGUCCUAGGAUUCACAGACUUCAAUGCAUAAGAAGAAUGGGUAGAUUCCAAAAGGGCGAUUAAAUUUCCUAAAACUUUCUACUCUGUCAUUUUGUCUCUCCCUGUCCCUCACUCCUUAACCAUAGUCCCACACACCUGCUCUGUACACUUUGGCUUUUGUGCUUUUAAUUCCCACUGUUUGGAACAGACUUCUCUGUCUUCCUUCUCUAGGCUGCUAGUCCUCCAAUACUUGGCUGAACUCCUCUUCCUUGAGUCCUCUACAUCACACCUAAAGCAAACCUGGAGCUCCCUUACUUCAGGAUGUCCAUCUGGGAGGUGGAGAAGUAUGAAGCAAGCAGAAGGCCAAAGAAUGUCUAAAGGGACAAGGCUGGAUGAAGGGGAAAGGAUGAAGGAGAAUAAUACAAUCCCAAAUGAAAAACUUACUAGACAUUUCAUUUUUGCUUGUGGUUGGCCUAAUCUGUAUCAAUGA